ensembl:miRNA
AUUUGAGUCUGUCGGCCAGGGGAAUUCCUGGCAGAGUGAUUUUUGAGACUACAGGACUGAAUCACAUUGCCAGGGAUUUCCAAUGGCUGCCAUGAAU